rnacentral:rRNA from 1 species
CAGUAGCCGCGGGAAUACAGAGGGUGCGAGCGUUAAUCGGAUUUACUGGGCGUAAAGCGUGCGUAGGCGGCUUCUUAAGUCGGAUGUGAAAUCCCUGAGCUUAACUUAGGAAUUGCAUUCGAUACUGGGAAGCUAGAGUAUGGGAGAGGAUGGUAGAAUUCCAGGUGUAGCGGUGAAAUGCGUAGAGAUCUGGAGGAAUACCGAUGGCGAAGGCAGCCAUCUGGCCUAAUACUGACGCUGAGGAGCGAAAGUGUGGGGAGCGAACAGGAUUAGAUACCCCAGUAGUCCCUGUCUCUUAUAC